CCCUGCAUACAAUAUCCCCACCCAGAUGUGGCCCUUGGCCCAAAAAGUUUGCCCACCCCUGCUUUAGUCUCUUUCUCCCUAUCUUGGGGUUCAUUUCAUAGUGUCAUUGUGUUCCACUAGCUCUCUCUUUCUAGUGUAGAUGUACAUAGCUUCAGACAACUUCUCUGUAUCUUGUGUCCAAAUAGCACUUCAUUCAGUCCCCAACAGCAGGCAUCAUCCACUUUUGCAUCAACAGAUAGAAGCAUAAGGCUGCCAAAGCCUACACUGAUAUCAGCUGCACCAAGGCCUCAGGCACAGAGUAUGUCAAUAGUACUGGUGUUCAAUGCUUUGACUCAUUUGCCCUCUGGCAGCAGGGACAGAGACCUUGAAAUUCAUUUGCUCUGAACUCCCAUGAUCAAUACUGCAACACUACUUCACUGUACUAAAGUGGAUGGAAAAAAAACUCAUGAUGAGAGAAGCAAUCUCGUUAAACAGAGACAGCAGGUCUCUCAAUAUUUCCUUCUGCUCUGGAAAUGAACACAGCCACAACAGAACUGGGAUAACGGGAUGCCUUCUCUGAUUGCUUUCAGGAUCUAGGGCAGAACAUGCUGCACACUAGGUAUCAAACAGGUUCCUCUUGAUGUGGAUCAAGCUUAUUUCUUCAGCAGAGGUAAUGACUCACUUGAGUCAAUGUCAAUCAGACUGGCAAGUCCAGAGUAGCAGGGAAGUCAACACCAAACUCAGCAGCACAUCAAAACACCAAAAAUGACACAGCCUCAAUCUGUUCUGGUGACUGUGAUUCAUCAUGUCUAGCAGGGUGCCUAUAGUUUGUUCAGGGACAACUUAAGCCCUAUUCCACUGGAAUGAUGCCAAACACUUCCCAAACCUGGAAGCCCAGCUGUGACUCUUCAUUAGGUCAUUCAAGGCAACAGCUAAGGAUAUGAUUUAGUCACAGAGGUCAUGGAUUCCAUGACUUUACCAGACCUCUGUGACUCAGCUGUGCAUCCCCAACCUAUCGCCUGAGCCAAAGCCGGGGCUGUAUGCCCCCCUUGCAGCUGCGGCAGGAGCCAGGGCUAUAUGCUCCCCGCUCUCCUCAUGGCUUCAGCAGAGGCCGGAGCCGCAGCUGUGCGCCCCCAUCCAUCCUUCGCUGCUGCAGCCAGAGAUGGGCGCCCCCCACCUCCUCCCAUGGCAGCAGCGGAGGUUGGAGAUGGGGCUGUGAACCCACCCAUGGUGGUAUAGCUGGGUCUGUCAUUUUCCCCCCAUGGGGCUCUAGCUAUCAUUCCCCCUUCCACCUCCCACAGCCCUCACUCCCCUGUUAUUUUUUAGUAGGUCAGACUGGUUACAGCUCCUGUGAAUUUUUGUUUACUGCCCGCAACUUGUGACUUUACUAAAAAUAACCACAACAAAAUCUUAACCUCAGCAAUAUGCUACAAAUUCAUCCUGACUUGCUGGACUUACAGAAGAAUCAGGAUUCAGCCAGCAGGAUCUUCAAGAGCUUUCUACAGCUAAGACUGCUCAUGGUGACAUACAUGAAAAAAAAUCUAACAGCCACGCCAGUUACAGAAUCAUAGAAAUGUAGGGCUGAAAGUGAAGUUGAGAGGCCAUCAGGUUCAGCCUCGUGUGAGAGCCCUGACCUAGUAACUUUCAACUGAUCUGCCUCUCACUUCCUCCUGAACCUCAGAACAAAUGUAUAUAUUCUUGACUUAUAGCACAACACUUCCUCCUUUUUCUCCCCACCUGUCCUUCCUGAAAAAACUACAUCCCUCCAUAUCAAUAUUCGAGUCAUGAGAUUUAUCCCAAGUAUCUGCAAUGUCAACUAAGUGAUAAUUUAGGUUUUGUUCGAAUACUUCCAGUUCUUCCUGUUUAUUCCCCAUACUGUUCACAUUUGUGCAUAGACAUUUAAGAUGUUGAGACUGAUUUCACUCGUUGCUCAGGUGACACUACUGUAAUUUUCCAUGUCCCCCCAAUAUCUAGCUCCCUGUUAAGGUUGCCUCCUUCCUGCCCUUACGGUUUUUUUGUUUGUUUGUUUGUUUGAACAAGGCAGAGAAUAGUCAUGCCUAUCAGAGAGUCUCUGCAUCUGACAGCAUUCAAGAUUUCCUGAAACCCUGGAUGAUUCCACAUUCUGAAAAAGGAGGAAGAAAAGCUGUUGAUGCAAAGCCCACUGCAUCUUUUGGCAGACUAAAAUCAAGAGGUCAUAUAAGCUCCAAAAGGAGAAAGAGCACAGAGUUUUAAAUUGAGAGCAUUCAACAAUGAAACUGACCAGUACCGGAACUGGAGUAAAGAUGCCAAGCCAAUGGGAGCUAAAAAUUCAUGAAACUAUGAGGUGAUGGCCACAGACUAGUCUGACAAAGAAAAAGAAAAUCAACACAGACUACAAAAACCAGAAACAGUUACCUAUCACUAUGCAGGAAACUUCAGAAUUCUCCAUUCUCCGGCUGACAGAGUAGCAUUUUAACUGAGCACUAAUAAAAACUUCAGCUCCCAGAACGCACCCUAGUCACAAGAUGCAGAAUGAUUCUGUAUGAUGCACUCCACUAAAUACCAUACCAUUUUAGAACAGAGGAACAAGUACUAUGAAUUUCAAUUCAAAAAGUGAAUUUGAAACCAGUGUUUUGUCAAACAGAAUAAAAAUGUUUUUGUGAAAUCCUUUUUAAAAGUUAAAUGGUUAGAAUAUUCUACACUUCCAUAACAGUCAAGAAUUUUACAUACUAUUGCUGCUUUACAAACUAACAAAUUUAACUAUGA